rnacentral:rRNA from 1 species
ACAUGUUAUCUCUUUCUGAAUGCAUCUGAUCUCGUCUGAUCUCCAAAGCUAAGCAGGGUUGGGCCUGGUUAGUACUUGGAUGGGAAAUGUA